ACCUGCGGAAGGAUCAUUACAAGAUUAGUAGCUUGUCUACUAUUGUGGUUUGAAAGUCUUUGGGCUUGUCCCGGGAUGAGUAUAACUCCUUCUACCCUUGAUUAUUUGAGCACUCCUGUUUCCUAGGCAGCGUAAGCUGCCAAUAGGACAACAUUAUAACCUUUUUUUAAUCCUUUCAAUCAGCGUCUGAAAAAAAUAAUAUUUACAACUUUCAACAACGGAUCUCUUGGUUCUGGCAUCGAUGAAGAACGCAGCGAAAUGCGAUAAGUAGUGUGAAUUGCAGAAUUCAGUGAAUCAUCGAAUCUUUGAACGCACAUUGCGCCCCUUGGUAUUCCAUGGGGCAUGCCUGUUCGAGCGUCAUUUGUACCUUCAAGCUUAUUGCUUGGUGAUGGGUGCUUGUCUUAGCCUCGCUGAGACUGACCCUAAAUAUAUUGGCGGCCCAAGGUGUUGGGUUUUAGAUGCAGCACAGCAAGUCUAAAACUCAUGAUACCAGGCCCCCAAAGAACAUAUUUUUUCGCUUGACCUCGGAUCAGGUAGGGAUACCCGCUGAACUUAAGCAUAUCAAUAAGCGGAGGAAAAGAAACC
rnacentral:rRNA from 1 species